GAUGAACGCUGGCGGCGCGCCUAACACAUGCAAGUCGAACGGCACCCCUCUCCGGAGGGAAGCGAGUGGCGAACGGCUGAGUAACACGUGGAGAACCUGCCCCCUCCCCCGGGAUAGCCGCCCGAAAGGACGGGUAAUACCGGAUACCCCGGGGUGCCGCAUGGCACCCCGGCUAAAGCCCCGACGGGAGGGGAUGGCUCCGCGGCCCAUCAGGUAGACGGCGGGGUGACGGCCCACCGUGCCGACAACGGGUAGCCGGGUUGAGAGACCGACCGGCCAGAUUGGGACUGAGACACGGCCCAGACCCCUACGGGAGGCAGCAGUGGGGAAUCUUGCGCAAUGGGGGGAACCCUGACGCAGCGACGCCGCGUGCGGGACGGAGGCCUUCGGGUCGUAAACCGCUUUCAGCAGGGAAGAGUCAAGACUGUACCUGCAGAAGAAGCCCCGGCUAACUACGUGCCAGCAGCCGCAGUAA
rnacentral:rRNA from 1 species